rnacentral:rRNA from 1 species
UACAGAGGGGGCAAGCGUUGUUCGGAAUUACUGGGCGUAAAGGGCGCGUAGGCGGCCUGCUAAGUCGGACGUGAAAUCCCUCGGCUCAACCGGGGAACUGCGUCCGAUACUGGUGGGCUCGAAUCCGGGAGAGGGAUGUGGAAUUCCAGGUGUAGCGGUGAAAUGCGUAGAUAUCUGGAGGAACACCGGUGGCGAAGGCGGCAUCCUGGACCGGCAUUGACGCUGAGGCGCGAAAGCCAGGGAGCAAACGGG